rnacentral:rRNA from 1 species
AGUGAACGCUGGCGGUAGGCCUAACACAUGCAAGUCGAACGGCAGCACAGUAAGAGCUUGCUCUUACGGGUGGCGAGUGGCGGACGGGUGAGGAAUACAUCGGAAUCUACUUUUUCGUGGGGGAUAACGUAGGGAAACUUACGCUAAUACCGCAUACGACCUACGGGUGAAAGCAGGGGAUCUUCGGACCUUGCGCGAUUGAAUGAGCCGAUGUCGGAUUAGCUAGUUGGCGGGGUAAAGGCCCACCAAGGCGACGAUCCGUAGCUGGUCUGAGAGGAUGAUCAGCCACACUGGAACUGAGACACGGUCCAGACUCCUACGGGAGGCAGCAGUGGGGAAUAUUGGACAAUGGGCGCAAGCCUGAUCCAGCCAUACCGCGUGGGUGAAGAAGGCCUUCGGGUUGUAAAGCCCUUUUGUUGGGAAAGAAAAGCAGCAGGUUAAUACCCCGCUGUCCUGACGGUACCCAAGGAAUAAGCACCGGCUAACUUCGUG